rnacentral:rRNA from 1 species
GACGAAGGGAGCAAGCGUUGUUGGGAUUCACUGGGCAUAAAGGGCACGGAGGCGGCCAAGCAAGUCGGAUGUGAAAUCCCGCGGCUCAACCGCGGAAUUGCAUCCGAUACUGCACGUCUUGAGGCCGGGAGGGGAGAGUGGAACUCCUAGUGUAGCGGUGAAAUGCGUAGAUUUUAGGAGGAACGCCGGUGGCGAAAGCGACUCUCUGGCCCGGUUCUGACGCUGAGGUGCCAAAGCUAUGGGAGCAACCAGG